rnacentral:misc_RNA from 1 species
GAUGAAGAACGCAGCGAAAUGCGAUAAGUAAUGUGAAUUGCAGAAUUCAGUGAAUCAUCGAAUCUUUGAACGCACAUUGCGCCCCUUGGUAUUCCGAGGGGCAUGCCUGUUCGAGCGUCAUUAUAACCCUCAAGCUCAGCUUGGUGUUGGGGCCUGCUGCACUGGCAGCCCUUAAAAUCAGUGGCGGCGCCAUCUGGCUCUAAGCGUAGUAAUUCUUCUCGCUAUGGAGUCCUGGUGGAUGCUUGCCAUCAACCCCCAAUUUUUCUAUGGUUGACCUCGGAUCAGGUAGGGAUACCCGCUGAACUUAAGCAUAUCAAUAACGGAGGA